GAGCAUAAGAACAGGCAUACUGGGUCAGACCAAAGGUCCAUCUAGCCCAGUAGCCUGUCUUGCGACAGUGGUCAAUGCCAGGUGCCCCAAAGGGA